GAUGGCCUGUAUUCUUAGUGGCGGACGGGUGAGUAACACGUGAGCAACCUGCCUUCAAGAGGGGGAUAGCACCUGGAAACGGGUGGUAAUACCGCAUAAGACCACAGUGUCGCAUGGCACAGAGGUCAAAGGAGCAAUCCGCUUGAAGAUGGGCUCGCGUCCGAUUAGAUAGUUGGUGAGGUAACGGCUCACCAAGUCGACGAUCGGUAGCCGGACUGAGAGGUUGAACGGCCACAUUGGGACUGAGACACGGCCCAGACUCCUACGGGAGGCAGCAGUGGGGGAUAUUGCACAAUGGGCGAAAGCCUGAUGCAGCGACGCCGCGUGAGGGAAGACGGCCUUCGGGUUGUAAACCUCUGUCAUUCGGGACGAAUAUAUGACGGUACCGAAGAAGGAAGCUCCGGCUAACUACGUGCCAGCAGCCGCGGUAAUACGUAGGGAGCGAGCGUUGU
rnacentral:rRNA from 1 species